rnacentral:rRNA from 1 species
GGUUAAGUUAAUAAGGGCGCACGGUGGAUGCCUUGGCACUAGAAGCCGAUGAAGGACGUGACUAACGACGAAAUGCUUUGGGGAGCUGUAAGUGAGCAAUGAUCCAGAGAUGUCCGAAUGGGGGAACCCGGCAGGUAAUGCCUGUCACUCAUUACUGUUAAGGUAAUGUAGAGGAAGACGCAGUGAACUGAAACAUCUAAGUAGCUGUAGGAAGAGAAAGCAAAAGCGAUUGCCUGUAGUAGCGGCGAGCGAAACGGCAAGAGGGCAAACCGAAGAGUUUACUCUUCGGGGUUGUAGGACUGCAACGUGGACUUAAAGAUUAUAGAAGAACUACCUGGGAAGGUAGGCCAAAGAGAGUAAUAGCCUCGUAUUCGAAAUAGUCUUUAUACCUAGCAGUAUCCUGAGUACGGCGAGACACGAGAAAUCUCGUCGGAAUCUGGGAGGACCAUCUCCCAACCCUAAAUACUCUCUAGUGACCGAUAGUGAACCAGUACCGUGAGGGAAAGGUGAAAAGCACCCCGGGAGGGGAGUGAAAUAGAACCUGAAACCGUGUGCCUACAACAAGUUCGAGCCCGUUAAUGGGUGAGAGCGUGCCUUUUGUAGAAUGAACCGGCGAGUUACGAUAUGAUGCGAGGUUAAGUUGAAGAGACGGAGCCGUAGGGAAACCGAGUCUUAAUAGGGCGCAUUAGUAUCAUGUCGUAGACCCGAAACCAUGUGACCUACCCAUGAGCAGGUUGAAGGUGAGGUAAAACUCACUGGAGGACCGAACCAGGGCACGUUGAAAAGUGCUUGGAUGACUUGUGGGUAGCGGAGAAAUUCCAAACGAACUUGGAGAUAGCUGGUUCUCUCCGAAAUAGCUUUAGGGCUAGCGUCGAUGUUAAGUCUCUUGGAGGUAGAGCACUGUUUGGGUGAGGGGUCCAUCCCGGAUUACCAAUCUCAGAUAAACUCCGAAUGCCAAUGAGAUAUAAUCGGCAGUCAGACUGCGAGUGCUAAGAUCCGUAGUCGAAAGGGAAACAGCCCAGACCACCAGCUAAGGUCCCAAAAUAUAUGUUAAGUGGAAAAGGAUGUGGGGUUGCACAGACAACUAGGAUGUUAGCUUAGAAGCAGCUAUUCAUUCAAAGAGUGCGUAAUAGCUCACUAGUCGAGUGACCCUGCGCCGAAAAUGUACCGGGGCUAAAACAUAUUACCGAAGCUGUGGAUACCUUUAUAGGUAUGGUAGGAGAGCGUUCUAUGUGCGAAGAAGGUGUACCGUGAGGAGUGCUGGAGCGCAUAGAAGUGAGAAUGCCGGUAUGAGUAGCGAAAGACAGGUGAGAAUCCUGUCCACCGUAAGACUAAGGUUUCCAGGGGAAGGCUCGUCCGCCCUGGGUUAGUCGGGACCUAAGGAGAGACCGAAAGGUGUAUCCGAUGGACAACAGGUUGAUAUUCCUGUACUAGAGUAUAUAGUGAUGGAGGGACGCAGUAGGCUAACUAAACCAGACGAUUGGAAGUGUCUGGCCAAGCAGUGAGGUGUGAUAUGAGUCAAAUGCUUAUAUCUUUAACAUUGAGCUGUGAUGGGGAGCGAAGUUUAGUAGCGAAGUUAGUGAUGUCACACUGCCGAGAAAAGCUUCUAGCGUUAAUUAUACUCUACCCGUACCGCAAACCGACACAGGUAGUCGAGGCGAGUAGCCUCAGGUGAGCGAGAGAACUCUCGUUAAGGAACUCGGCAAAAUGGCCCCGUAACUUCGGGAGAAGGGGCGCUGACUGAUGGUCAGCCGCAGUGAAUAGGCCCAAGCAACUGUUUAUCAAAAACACAGCUCUCUGCUAAAUCGUAAGAUGAUGUAUAGGGGGUGACGCCUGCCCGGUGCUGGAAGGUUAAGAGGAGUGCUUAGCGUAAGCGAAGGCAUGAAUUGAAGCCCCAGUAAACGGCGGCCGUAACUAUAACGGUCCUAAGGUAGCGAAAUUCCUUGUCGGGUAAGUUCCGACCCGCACGAAAGGCGUAAUGAUUUGGGCACUGUCUCAACGAGAGACUCGGUGAAAUUUUAGUACCUGUGAAGAUGCAGGUUACCCGCGACAGGACGGAAAGACCCCAUGGAGCUUUACUGCAGUUUGAUAUUGAGUAUCUGUACCACAUGUACAGGAUAGGUAGGAGCCUAUGACCUCGGGACGCCAGUUUCGAGUGAGGCGUUGUUGGGAUACUACCCUUGUGUUAUGGCUACUCUAACCCAGAUAGGUUAUCCCUAUCGGAGACAGUGUCUGACGGGCAGUUUGACUGGGGCGGUCGCCUCCUAAAAGGUAACGGAGGCGCCCAAAGGUUCCCUCAGAAUGGUUGGAAAUCAUUCGCAGAGUGUAAAGGUAUAAGGGAGCUUGACUGCGAGAGCUACAACUCGAGCAGGGACGAAAGUCGGGCUUAGUGAUCCGGUGGUUCCGUAUGGAAGGGCCAUCGCUCAACGGAUAAAAGCUACCCUGGGGAUAACAGGCUUAUCUCCCCCAAGAGUUCACAUCGACGGGGAGGUUUGGCACCUCGAUGUCGGCUCGUCGCAUCCUGGGGCUGUAGUCGGUCCCAAGGGUUGGGCUGUUCGCCCAUUAAAGCGGCACGCGAGCUGGGUUCAGAACGUCGUGAGACAGUUCGGUCCCUAUCCGUCGCGGGCGUAGGAAAUUUGAGAGGAUCUGCUCCUAGUACGAGAGGACCAGAGUGGACUUACCGCUGGUGUACCAGUUGUUCUGCCAAGAGCAUCGCUGGGUAGCUAUGUAGGGAAGGGAUAAACGCUGAAAGCAUCUAAGUGUGAAGCCCACCUCAAGAUGAGAUUUCCCAUGAUUUUAUAUCAGUAAGAGCCCUGAGAGAUGAUCAGGUUGAUAGGUUAGAAGUGGAAGUGUGGUGACACAUGUAGCGGACUAAUACUAAUAGCUCGAGGACUUAUCCAA